UACAGAGGUCUCAAGCGUUGUUCGGAUUCAUUGGGCGUAAAGGGUGCGUAGGCGGCGCGGUAAGUCGGGUGUGAAAUCUCGGAGCUUAACUCCGAAACUGCAUUCCAUACUGCCGUGCUUGAGGACUGGAGAGGAGACUGGAAUUUACGGUGUAGCGGUGAAAUGCGUAGAUAUCGUAAGGAAGACCAGUGGCGAAGGCGGGUCUCUGGACAGUUCCUGACGCUGAGGCACGAAGGUCAGGGGAGCAAACGGG
rnacentral:rRNA from 1 species